UGAGCCCUCAUUAUUGGUCUCCUCUCCACCGACAGCUUGCCUUCUACCCUAAGCCUACUGUGUGGUCUUGAAGAAGCUGCCUAACCUCUCUGAUCCUUCGCUUCCCCACCUGUGAUGGAGAGGAUUACCACACCUACCUCCAAUAGCUGCCCUGAGGAUCUAAUGGCUGCCUUUACUUUGUACCAAGAUGCAAUUCCAGAUUAGAUUGGUUAUUUCUUCAUCCCAGCAGAGGAAGACAAGAGAGCAAAUAAUAAAGCCUGAGGGAACAGAGGGGCAAGAAGCCACAUCACUGCCCUCAAAGAGUCAACAGUUUAUAACGAGACAGAACUGUGAAUGAAUAAAAACCACAGUCAUCGCUUC